rnacentral:rRNA from 1 species
AAUCAACGCUGGCGGCGUGCCCCAGACAUGCAAGUCGAACGAUGAAGCCUAGCUUGCUAGGCGGAUUAGUGGCGCACGGGUGAGUAACACGUAGGUAAUGUACCUUUGAGUGGGGAAUAACUUAGGGAAACUUAAGCUAAUACCGCAUAAUGCAGCGGCUCGACAUCGAGACAGCUGUUAAAGGAGUCAUUCGCUUAAAGAGCAGCCUGCGGCAGAUUAGCUAGUUGGUAAGGUAAUGGCUUACCAAGGCUACGAUCUGUAACCGACCUGAGAGGGUGGUCGGUCACACUGACACUGAAUAACGGGUCAGACUCCUACGGGAGGCAGCAGUCGGGAAUUUUGGGCAAUGGGCGAAAGCCUGACCCAGCAACGCCGCGUGAAGGAUGAAGUAUUUCGGUAUGUAAGCUUCGUAAGAAUAGGAAGAAUAAAUGACGGUACUAUUUGUAAGGGCCGGCUAACUACGUGCCAGCAGCCGCGGUAAAAC